rnacentral:rRNA from 1 species
UACGAAGGGUGCUAGCGUUGUUCGGAAUUACUGGGCGUAAAGCGAACGUAGGCGGUGUUCCGUGUCAGAGGUGAAAGCCUGGGGCUCAACUCCAGAAUUGCCUUUGAAACGGGAACGCUUGAGUCCGAGAGAGGAUGGCGGAAUUCCUAGUGUAGAGGUGAAAUUCGUAGAUAUUAGGAAGAACACCGGUGGCGAAGGCGGCCAUCUGGCUCGGUACUGACGCUCAGGUUCGAAAGCGUGGGGAGCAAACAGG